rnacentral:rRNA from 1 species
AACGAACGCUGGCGGCAGGCCUAACGCAUGCAAGUCGAACGAUAAGCCACCUUCGGGUGGUGGACAGUGGCAGACGGGUGAGUAACGCGUGGGAACGUGCUUUUCGGUUCGGGAUAACCCAGGGAAACUUGGGCUAAUACCGGAUACGCCCUUCGGGGGAAAGAUUCAUUGCCGAAAGAUCGGCCCGCGUCGGAUUAGCUAGUUGGUGGGGUAAUGGCCUACCAAGGCGACGAUCCGUAGCUGGUCUGAGAGGAUGACCAGCCACACUGGGACUGAGACACGGCCCAGACUCCUACGGGAGGCAGCAGUGGGGAAUAUUGGACAAUGGGCGAAAGCCUGAUCCAGCCAUGCCGCGUGGGUGAAGAAGGCCUUAGGGUUGUAAACCCCUUUCAGCGGGGACGAUAAUGACGGUACCCGCAGAAGAAGUCCCGGCUAACUCCGUGCCAGCCGCCGCCGUAAUAC